GAACCUAGAAAAAAGCCAAGGUCACUGCCCUUCUGAUUAAAUCAUAACAAAAACGUCAAACAAAAAUAUCUUCUUAUCACAUAAACAUGAAUGAACAUACUUUUCUCAUCACUCUCCACGUCUUGACUUUGUUUUAUUACUUCCACUCCUUGCAAAGGAUUAAGCCGUACAACAAACAGCCUGUGUUAAAUGUGAAGCUGACACAUUCGUUGUUAUGAAGCCCUGGCUUUUAUUAGGAGUGGUCCACAUAACCAUUCAUGAUACAGAGGCUGGGAGCCUAUUUCAGUUCAGGAGUGAAUUGUCAUCACAUGUCACUUAGUCGCAAGAGUGAAAGGAGUUCCCUGCUGUCAUCAAUCAACACAUCACCUGGACAAUGGCAGCCUUCAAUGAAGCUAUGAUAUUGUGACCAUGUCAGCUAGUCUCCCAUUCAACAAUUCUCCAAAUGUAGUCGUCGACUAUGGGACUUAACCCUUUUCACAUUGUUUUGAAUUCAUCAGGCAUUAUCUCGUAGAUUCAAGAUUUUGAUGUUGUGAUUGUUUAUUUUUAGAAUUACAUUGUGGGAUAGGUGAGAGAGGCUGGAUCUGGUUGGUUUGAACAUAAAGUGAGUAGAAUGUUUUGGCAGGAUAUAGCCAGUUUAAAUGUUAAAGUGUUAAAUUUGAUGAUUCUGGAGGCUACAAGUUUGGUUUUACCUGAUUGUAUAGAUUAUCUGACAUCCAUUUUAGAUUAUACUGUGUAACAGAAUUUUUGUCCUUGGGCAGCAACUGUUAUUUCCUAUUUGCUUAUCCCUAGAAAAAUAUGAAAAAUUGCUAAUAUUUCCUUCAAACUUUGCUUUUAUUACAUUUAUUCAAACCCCAAAGAAUUCCUCUCAACACAGGGCUAUGAUACUCCCCCACUACUCCUGCUCAUGAUCAGAGAUGCACAUAUUGUCAACCACUAAGGGACAUGCUCAAGUGGUUUGAGUCAAGUAAGUGACAAAAAAAUCUGUGGCAUUGAGCAGAAUAUUUGUUAGAACAAUAUUUCUGCUUUAGCAACUCAGUGCUUACUCUGUCUGAAAUGUAAUGGAAAAUAAGUCAGUUUCAAAACAUUGAUGUCCAGGUCACAAAAGCAAAAUUUGAUGGGAAGAGUAGUCAUUUCAUUUGGUUUCUAGAUAGAAGCAAAUAGGAAAUCACCCUUACUGUCCAAAAACAAAAAAUAAAAAUAAAAAUUUUGGUAAGUCCUGUGCAAAGAUGUGAUAUGGAAUGAUAUGGCCGUCACUACUCACCAUUUCUAAAACUACCAUAGUUACCAAAAAUUUAGUGUGCAUCACUGAGGGGGGGGGGGACAUCAGAAGGAUCAGCACAAAACCAUCUGCCAUGUCUAUUAUUAGACUUUUGGUCUUGGUUGAGUUUUUUAUAGUGGCUGUUGUUGGCUGUUCAAGUGCAUGCUAUUAAAUGGAAAAACAGUUAGUAUGACUCACCAUAAGACAGUUUUGUGUAUAAAUGUAUUGUUUAUUCUGUGGUGGAAGCAUGUAGUAUAAUACAAAAACAUAUGUGUUUACAAACAAAGAAUGUUUUGAUUUCUGCUUUUGCACUGAAAGAAGUAAUAUAUAAUAUUUGUAUUACAGUAUGUAUGCAUGUGUGUAAUGAGAACAGUCAUUUUGAGAAUGUGCGUGUGAUAAAAUAUCUUUAUUUAUGAACCAUAUAUCUUGUGUCAAGGUGAAUAGACAUGUGAGUCACACGUGGGAGAUUGUGUGUGGAGCUGCAGAGAAAACAUGUGUCUUUGACCGAAACCUGGCAGGAACUGAGAGUUUUCUACAAUGUAACUCAGAACAAGGCUAGUGUUUCAGAACGAGGCUACUGUAUCAAAGCAAAAAUAGUGUAUCAAAGUGAGUCUAGACGCCUCAUCGAUAUAUUCAUCUGCUGUGCAGGUCGACUCACAUAUUACUAUGUAAUAUGUAGCUCUGCUACAAGUUUUUUCUCAUCAGAGGAGAAACAAAGUAUGGGAUGUGGAUGAGGCUCUUUAAACUUUGUAAUAUAACCACUUGUCACAGAACAAAUGGUUUUCCUGUGUCUUUGCAGAGAUCGCUUGGCAUUUUCAGUGUAUACCAUUUGUAUUGAAUAUCCUUGUGCACUACAAUGCUGAUAGCCCACUCAAUAAAGGCCCUCAUUGUUUCUUUGGAAUCAUCAUUGAUAAUGUUUUGAUUGGAUGUCAUUUCAACUCAGAGUACAAAGAGUCAUGUUUUAGCUGAUAAUCUAAUGCAAUAGUUUCCAACCUUUUUAGCUAUCCUAACCCCACACACAUAUUUGGAAUCUUUAAUUUUUCUGUGGCACCUUAGACAUUAUUAGUGAAAAAGUACUUCAGUUUUUAAAUAAAUGGUUAAUAGUUGAAAUAGGUAAUUUUUGAAACAAUUAAAAAACUACAAUAAAUAUAAAAUUUGUAAAUUUUUUCAAAUGAUAUUGAAAUAGCACUUAAACCAGCCAUAUCCAGCCUAAAUUUUCUACCUCUUUUAUAUUGAAAUCAACCACAUCCAGCCUUUCACACCUAACCUACAAUGUCAUUCUAAAAAUAAAUAAUUACAUCAUCGAAAUCACAAAGCUGUGAGAUAAUCCCUGCUUAAUUCGAAAUAUUGUGGGUAAAUAAGCUUCACAUUUGACAGAGUGAUUUGAAUGUUAAAGGGUUAAAUUCAUUUUAUUACGAUUAAAUAAAUUUCUAAAAAUAUUUAAAAAUUGAUAAUGUAAUGAAAACAAUUUUUGAACAAUAAUUUAUAAUAAUAAACAUUUUAAAAAAAGUUUUGUCCAAAGGUGACCUGUUUUCUAUCAUU